GAUGAACGCUGGCGGCGUGCCUAAUACAUGCAAGUCGAGCGAACGGACGAGAAGCUUGCUUCUCUGAUGUUAGCGGCGGACGGGUGAGUAACACGUGGAUCACCUACCUAUAAGACUGGGAUAACUUCGGGAAACCGGCGCUAAUACCGGAUAAUAUUUUGAACCGCAUGGUUCAAAAGUGAAAGACGGUCUUGCUGUCACUUAUAGAUGGAUCCGCGCUGCAUUAGCUGGUUGGUCAGGUAACGGCUUACCAAGGCAACGAUGCAUAGCCGACCUGAGAGGGUGAUCGGCCACACUGGAACUGAGACACGGUCCAGACUCCUACGGGAGGCAGCAGUAGGGAAUCUUCCGCAAUGGGCGAAAGCCUGACGGAGCAACGCCGCGUGAGUGAUGAAGGUCUUCGGAUCGUAAAACUCUGUUAUUAGGGAAGAACAUAUGUGUAAGUAACUGUGCACAUCUUGACGGUACCUAAUCAGAAAGCCACGGCUAACUACGUG
rnacentral:rRNA from 1 species